rnacentral:rRNA from 1 species
GAUGAACGCUGGCGGCGUGCUUAACACAUGCAAGUCGAACGGUGAAGCAGAGCUUGCUCUGUGGAUCAGUGGCGAACGGGUGAGUAACACGUGAGCAGCCUGCCCUGGACUCUGGGAUAAGCGCUGGAAACGGCGUCUAAUACUGGAUACGAGACGUGGCCGCAUGGUCAACGUUUGGAAAGAUUUUUUGGUUCAGGAUGGGCUCGCGGCCUAUCAGCUUGUUGGUGAGGUAAUGGCUCACCAAGGCGUCGACGGGUAGCCGGCCUGAGAGGGUGACCGGCCACACUGGGACUGAGACACGGCCCAGACUCCUACGGGAGGCAGCAGUGGGGAAUAUUGCACAAUGGGCGAAAGCCUGAUGCAGCAACGCCGCGUGAGGGAUGACGGCCUUCGGGUUGUAAACCUCUUUUAGCAAGGAAGAAGCGAAAGUGACGGAACUUGCAGAAAAAGCGCCGGCUAACUACGUGCCAGCAGCCGCAGUAACAC